rnacentral:rRNA from 1 species
UCUUCGAGCCGGUGACAAAAGGGGUUAGGUGUUGUGACGAGGCCGGCUCGCUUUAGGUCCAUGUGAGGCGACGAGGCCGGUAUAAGCGAGCGGGGCUUGACGAGACCGCUAAGGGAGGGAGAUAUAGGGACGGAGAGACGCGCGACGAAGAAUAGGUAGGGGCACGCCGGCACGGGGUACCGAAGAUGGCCGUCGACGUUCCCUACCGGCCUCUCGCGUGACGACGCCCUCGGCUGGCUUAUGCGGCGACGACGUGGCGGUGUACAGAGACCGACGAUCAUCGUCGCUCUGCUGCUUGAUGUGUUCGUCGUCUCGUUGCUGCUUUAGCUGCUCGGACUGCUGUUGCCGUUCGACCUCAGAGGGGGCUGCUCGAGCUGCUCCUUAUCCUGCUGCCACUACAGAGCCUCGUCGUGCCAGCUGGAGCCGCGGGAGGACGGGCCGCAUCGGGGUGAUCGUUUUGGGUUCUACGACAGGUUGGUUCAAACACAUAGGUGUAACGAAGACUACCGUAACUUUCGAAGAUGUUUCCGAAGGAGAAGGAGUAUGAACAUGUACGUUCGUGACUUUAGUCGUUCAUGUAAACCAGAGAGGAGCAGAAAAAAGAAUAUUCCAUUCACGGAUUACCGUAAAACGUAAUACACUUUUCACGUAUUAGGUACGGUACGAAGUCAUUUAUGGCGGACUUGACGUAAUGGGUAACGAUGUAGAACUAGUCAUUUCUAACAAGAUCCAACGAAGAACAAUACGUUACUAUC